GAUUUUUUUGCAAUCAGAAGAAAAUGUAUAAAUGAAUGAUAAAGAUAUGUGCCAUAAAAUUUUAAAGCUAACCAUAACCCUGAUUAAUAGAAGUAAAUUUUCUUUGUUAUUUUUCAGCAGAAAAAGAGAUAGAUGCAUUUGCUAAUCCUGAUGUACUGUUUAAAAGGAGAAAAGAAAAAGAAAGAAUGAAAAAGUGAAAGAAGAAGGAAUAUAAGGCAAAGCUCUGACAGGUUCUGAGCGUGCCCAGUAGGGAUGAUUUAACACCGCGCUGAUGACUUGCAACAGAAGAUCGUCAUGUGAAAAGGCAUUUUACAAACGUUUGAAGGCCCUGAACUAUACCAACACAUGGCUUUGCCCAGCCUCUCGGAAUUUACAAAGGGGAGGAAGAAAAUGCUUCGAAGAGCUUGGUAAAGUGCCCUCAAACUCAAUUUUUAUGUAUAUAAAAUAAAGGAUGGGCAAAUGAGGAAUUAGCAAGAAAUUCCCACUUGUAGAAGUAUCACCAAAACUGGAACAGGGUCUCAAAAAGGGUUGCAUACUUAGAUUCCCAGCACUGGCUCGAAUGUUAUCUAAUUACAGACCUUCCUCCUCUUGUGAUGGGACUAUAUCCCGAUAAACCUAUCAUAUGUUGUAAAUAUCCUAAGUCAAAAAUGCCCCUAACCUACCAAACAUCAUAGCUUAACCGAGUCUAUCUUAAAUGUGCUCAGAACACUUACUAUUAAUCUACCUCUGGGCAAAAUCAUCUAACACAAAGCCUGUUUUAUAGGAAAGCAUCGAACAGAGCAAGUAAUUUAUUGGAUACUGUACUGAAAGUGAAAACCAGAAUGGUUGCACGGUACAAAAUGGUGGUAAGUAUAUCGGUUGUUGACCUUUGAAGUCACGUGGUUGUUGACCUUUGCAGUCACGUGACUGACUGGGCGCUGCAGCUCCCACUGCCCAGCAUCAGAACAGAGGAUUCCAGAGCAUAUCGCUGGCCUGGGGAAAGGUUCAAAUUCAAAAUUGGAAAUCCUGUUUCUACUGGAUGCAUAUCAUUUUGUACCAUCAUAAAAUUGAAAAAUCCUAAGCUGAAUCACUGUAAGCCAGGGACCUUCUGUAGCUGGUAGGUUCACCUGAUGAUAAGCCAACUCCAUGGCACAUUUCCAGUGGAAAAGCAACCCCUACCCUCGUGUGUAUAGUGACAAAUAGGGAAAGUUCUUUCUACAUCCCUGACUCACUUUUCUUUUGUUCUGUGCUUUAACAGCUGAGUGUUACUGAUGGGAUAUUUGUCCUCUGAGAGGAGUACAGAAGAGUAAUAUUAACUACCUGCAACCCUCCCUCCUAUGUGGAAAUAAAAUUAAUGUUGUGACAUAAGCUGACA
rnacentral:lncRNA from 1 species